ACGGAAGGCAGCAGUGGGGAAUAUUGGGCAAUGGGCGCAAGCCUGACCCAGCAAUGCCGCGUGAAGGAAGAAGGCUUUCGGGUUGUAAACUUCUUUUAAGUGGGACGAUAAUGACGGUACCACAUGAAUAAGCUCCGGCUAACUACGUGCCAGCAGCCGCGGUAAUACGUAGGGAGCAAGCGUUAUCCGGAUUUACUGGGUGUAAAGGGCGUGUAGGCGGGACAGCAAGUCAGAUGUGAAAGCACGAGGCUCAACUUCGUGUCUGCAUUUGAAACUGCUGUUCUUGAGUGCUGGAGAGGCUAACGGAACUCCUAGUGUAGCGGUGAAAUGCGUAGAUAUUAGGAAGAACACCAGUGGCGAAGGCGGUUAGCUGGACAGUAACUGACGCUGAGGCGCGAAAGCGUGGGUAGCAAACAGGAUUAGAUACCCUGGUA
rnacentral:rRNA from 1 species